UCCUACGGGAGGCAGCAGUGGGGAAUUUUCCGCAAUGGGCGAAAGCCUGACGGAGCAAUACCGCGUGAGGGAAGACGGCCUAUGGGUUGUAAACCUCUUUUUUCAGGGAGGAAUUUUGACGUGUACCUGAAGAAUAAGCAUCGGCUAACUCCGUGCCAGCAGCCGCGGUAAGACGGAGGAUGCAAGUGUUAUCCGGAAUCACUGGGCGUAAAGCGUCUGUAGGUGGUUAAGCAAGUCAACUGUUAAAUCUUGAGGCUCAACUGUAAAAUUGCCUUUGAUACUGAUAGUCUUGAAUUGUAGUGAAGUGGUUAGAAUAUGUGGUGUAGCGGUGAAAUGCAUAGAUAUCACAUAGAAUACCGAUUGCGAAGGCAGAUCACUAACUAUAUAUUGACGCUGAGGGACGAAAGCGUGGGGAGCGAACGGGAUUAGAUACCCCGGUAGUCCACGCCGUAAACGAUGGAUACUAGCUGUUGGAUUUUUUCAGUGGCUAAGCGAAAGUGAUAAGUAUCCCACCUGGGGAGUACGUUCGCAAGAAUGAAACUCAAAGGAAUUGACGGA
rnacentral:rRNA from 1 species